ensembl:lncRNA
CUCACACACUGCUUUAAAGUGUUGUGUUAACCUUUAAACUCCUAGGUCAGACUUUUAUUUUUUAGGCUGACCUCCUCCUUCUUAUGUUAAAAGGUAUAAAGUAAAGGGAUGUACAGGAAGCUCACUCAGGAAACAGGAAAGGUGUUUGCACACUCCUGCACAAUGCAGUUAUUAGCAGCUUGAAGAGGUUGUUGGGGAGGUUUAUGCUCAGAAGUAUUGUCACGGUAAUACAGAAAAUAGCUGGAGCUACAUUAUUAUCUUUUAAAAAGCUGAAAUAUCUUCAGUAUGCAAUUUCCUGUUCUUCUCUUCAUCUCAUCUGUUUCAGCAGUAGUUGAGUGUCCCCAGGAAAUUGUCCAGAUAAAUGAAGAUGGAAAAAACAGGGUGACCUGCAAGGUUGAGAGGUCAAACCAUGAUGGGCGUAUCCACUGGUUUCAUGGAACAGUCAAUCUAACGAGCCAAUCAACCCAGGACAUAAAGUCUGCUGCUGAUGGAUCAUAUACAGUGGUUAGUUCUCUCAGUGUCAGUUUAAACUGGAAAACGUUUAACUGUUCUUACUGGGUACCUCAAAUUGAGCAAUAUAUAACAAGCAAGAACAUUGUUAUGGAAUAUAAUACACAGUCUAAGACAAAGUCUUUCAGCAGUGACAGUUGCAGUGGUCUGGUCUUCUGUUUGUGUCUCCUUUGGACUCUCAUUCAGCAAUAA